UACGGAGGGUGCAAGCGUUGCUCGGAAUUAUUGGGCGUAAAGGGUAGGUAGGUGGUCUCGUUUGUCUGGGGUGAAGCCUUGAGCUUAACUCAAGAAGUGCCUCAGAAACGGCGAGACUAGAGUUCGGAGAGGGGUCGUGGAAUUCCCGGGUGGUAGCGGUGAAAUGCGUAGAGAUCGGGAAGAACAUCGGUGGCGAAGGCGGCCUGCUGGGCUGUUGCUGACGUGAGGC
rnacentral:rRNA from 1 species